rnacentral:rRNA from 1 species
GAUGAACGCUGGCGGCGUGCUUAACACAUGCAAGUCGAACGAAGCACUUUUACAGAUUUCUUCGGAAUGAAGUUUUAGUGACUGAGUGGCGGACGGGUGAGUAACGCGUGGGUAACCUGCCUCACACAGGGGGAUAACAGUUGGAAACGGCUGCUAAUACCGCAUAAGCGCACAGUACCGCAUGGUACAGUGUGAAAAACUCCGGUGGUGUGAGAUGGACCCGCGUCUGAUUAGCUAGUUGGCAGGGCAACGGCCUACCAAGGCGACGAUCAGUAGCCGACCUGAGAGGGGGACCGGCCACAUUGGGACUGAGACACGGCCCAAACUCCUACGGGAGGCAGCAGUGGGGAAGAUUGCACAAUGGGGGAAACCCUGAUGCAGCGACGCCGCGUGAGCGAAGAAGUAUUUCGGUAUGUAAAGCUCUAUCAGCAGGGAAGAAGAAAUGACGGUACCUGACUAAGAAGCACCGGCUAAAUACGUGCCAGCCGCCGCAGUAA